UACGGAGGAUGCAAGCGUUAUCCGGAAUGAUUGGGCGUAAAGCGUCCGCAGGUGGCUGUGUAAGUCUGCUGUUAAAGAGUGAGGCUCAACCUCAUAAAGGCAGUGGAAACUACAUGGCUAGAGUGCGUUCGGGGCAGAGGGAAUUCCAGGUGUAGCGGUGAAAUGCGUAGAUAUCUGGAGGAACACCGGUGGCGAAGGCGGCAUCCUGGACCAACACUGACGCUGAGGAGCGAAAGCCAGGGGAGCAAACGGG
rnacentral:rRNA from 1 species